rnacentral:rRNA from 2 species
UACGGGGGGAACAAGCGUUGUUCGGAUUCACUGGGCGUAAAGGGCGUGUAGGCGGAUUUGCAAGUCAGAUGUGAAAACCGGCGGCUCAACCACCGGCCUGCAUCUGAUACUGCUAAUCUUGAGUACGGUAGAGGAAAGUGGAAUUCCAGGUGUAGCGGUGACAUGCGUAGAUAUCUGGAAGAACACCGGUGGCGAAGGCGGCUUUCUGGACCGAUACUGACGCUGAGGCGCGAAAGCCAGGGGAGCAAACAGGAUUAGAUACCCUGGUAGUCCUGGCCGUAAACGAUGGGUACUAGGUGUUGGAGGUAUCGACCCCUUCAGUGCCGCAGCAAACGCAUUAAGUACCCCGCCUGGGGAGUACGAUCGCAAGGUUGAA